rnacentral:rRNA from 1 species
UACGAGGGGGGCAAGCGUUGUUCGGAAUUAUUGGGCGUAAAGAGCUCGUAGGCGGCUUGUCGCGUCGAAUGUGAAAACCCACAGCUCAACUGUGGGCUUGCAUUCGAUACGGGCAGGCUCGAGUUCGGUAGGGGAGACUGGAAUUCCCGGUGUAGUGGUGAAAUGCGUAGAGAUCGGGAGGAACACCAGUGGCGAAGGCGGCCGGCUGGGGGUGACCUGACGCUGAGGCGCGAAAGCGUGGGGAGCGAACCGG